UUAGGAUUAUACUUGACAUGGACUAAAGGGUCUGUUUCUGUGCUGUAUGACUCUAAAUGUAAACAUUUAUUGAUAUGUAUGCACUUCUGGUAUUGGUGCAAGGCUACAUGGUACUUGGGUUUCUCCUUGGUUUUUUCACAGUUUCACAGCUUACGGGCAACUGACUAGUAAAUAUUUACUAAGCACCUAGUGGGAUGCCGGUCACUUCACUGUGUAGCAGGAGCACAUUGUUAGUGCAUGUGGUCACCUGGUGUCAAGGCUAACUUUCUUCUGGGUUUGGGGAGGGCAUUCAAACCUCAAGGGUAACUAGUGAACUUGGACAGUGUUAGUUUUGUAUUGUCCACUUGCAGUACAUUCCCAAAUCCUUUACAGCAGAAGAAUACAGUGAUUCCCCUGCCUCUGGGGGAGAAAGCACCGCUUCAAGCGAAUUGGCUCCAGGUGCUGACUCAACAGAAUCGGCCAUUACUGAGGUGGCAAGUGAAGCUUCCCAAACUGAGGCCGUCAUUGAGAAUGCAGUGUCUCGGGCUGUUCAGGAGCUUUCAGCUGGGGCUGGUGCUCCUGCCUCAGAAGCUCCUGCUGUGCCUGGUGCAGCCCAAGCACCUGCCUCCCCCGUUUCUCCUGAGAAGUCUGUUCAAACUGCAGCUACAAUUGAAACCUGUUCUGAGCAUGAAUCAGUUUCUUCAGCCACUGCUCAAAUUGAUGAUGAUGAGAUGCCACCAUUGAUUUCUGCCAUCGACGAGACUCCCCUCUGUGAAGGUCCUCCCCCAUCUGUUAUUGAGAAGGCAAUUCCCAAGACUGCUUCA